rnacentral:rRNA from 1 species
GACGGUAGGAGGCGAGCGUUAUCCGGAUUCACUGGGCGUAAAGCGCAUGUAGGCGGUUGGACAAGUCGUGUGUUAAAGCCCCUGGCUCAACUGGGGGAGGUCAUGCGAGACUGUGCGACUUGAGGGCAAGAGAGGCACGUGGAACUCCCGGUGUAGCGGUGGAAUGCGUAGAGAUCGGGAAGAACACCAGUGGCGAAGGCGACGUGCUGGGUUGCACCUGACGCUGAGAUGCGAAAGUGUGGGGAGCAAACGGG